AGAGUUUGAUCAUGGCUCAGGACGAACGCUGGCGGCGUGCCUAAUACAUGCAAGUCGAGCGAGCUUGCCUAGAUGAUUUUAGUGCUUGCACUAAAUGAAACUAGAUACAAGCGAGCGGCGGACGGGUGAGUAACACGUGGGUAACCUGCCCAAGAGACUGGGAUAACACCUGGAAACAGAUGCUAAUACCGGAUAACAACACUAGACGCAUGUCUAGAGUUUGAAAGAUGGUUCUGCUAUCACUCUUGGAUGGACCUGCGGUGCAUUAGCUAGUUGGUAAGGUAACGGCUUACCAAGGCAAUGAUGCAUAGCCGAGUUGAGAGACUGAUCGGCCACAUUGGGACUGAGACACGGCCCAAACUCCUACGGGAGGCAGCAGUAGGGAAUCUUCCACAAUGGACGAAAGUCUGAUGGAGCAACGCCGCGUGAGUGAAGAAGGGUUUCGGCUCGUAAAGCUCUGUUGGUAGUGAAGAAAGAUAGAGGUAGUAACUGGCCUUUAUUUGACGGUAAUUACUUAGAAAGUCACGGCUAACUACGUGCCAGCAGCCGCGGUAAUACGUAGGUGGCAAGCGUUGUCCGGAUUUAUUGGGCGUAARSSAGUGCAGGCGGUUCAAUAAGUCUGAUGUGAAAGCCUUCGGCUCAACCGGAGAAUUGCAUCAGAAACUGUUGAACUUGAGUGCAGAAGAGGAGAGUGGAACUCCAUGUGUAGCGGUGGAAUGCGUAGAUAUAUGGAAGAACACCAGUGGCGAAGGCGGCUCUCUGGUCUGCAACUGACGCUGAGGCUCGAAAGCAUGGGUAGCGAACAGGAUUAGAUACCCUGGUAGUCCAUGCCGUAAACGAUGAGUGCUAAGUGUUGGGAGGUUUCCGCCUCUCAGUGCUGCAGCUAACGCAUUAAGCACUCCGCCUGGGGAGUACGACCGCAAGGUUGAAACUCAAAGGAAUUGACGGGGGCCCGCACAAGCGGUGGAGCAUGUGGUUUAAUUCGAAGCAACGCGAAGAACCUUACCAGGUCUUGACAUCCAGUGCAAACCUAAGAGAUUAGGUGUUCCCUUCGGGGACGCUGAGACAGGUGGUGCAUGGCUGUCGUCAACUCGUGUCGUGAGAUGUUGGGUUAAGUCCCGCAACGAGCGCAACCCUUGUCAUUAGUUGCCAUCAUUAAGUUGGGCACUCUAAUGAGACUGCCGGUGACAAACCGGAGGAAGGUGGGGAUGACGUCAAGUCAUCAUGCCCCUUAUGACCUGGGCUACACACGUGCUACAAUGGACGGUACAACGAGAAGCGAACCUGCGAAGGCAAGCGGAUCUCUUAAAGCCGUUCUCAGUUCGGACUGUAGGCUGCAACUCGCCUACACGAAGCUGGAAUCGCUAGUAAUCGCGGAUCAGCACGCCGCGGUGAAUACGUUCCCGGGCCUUGUACACACCGCCCGUCACACCAUGAGAGUCUGUAACACCCAAAGCCGGUGGGAUAACCUUUAUAGGAGUCAGCCGUCUAAGGUAGGACAGAUGAUUAGGGUGAAGUCGUAACAAGGUAGCCGUAGGAGAACCUGCGGCUGGAUCACCUCCUU
rnacentral:rRNA from 1 species